AUCUUAUCAAGAGAAGCCGAGGGAUAUGGCCCGUUGACGCUUCAGCAACCUCUAAUAUUUAUUAGAAAGGUGCUAAUUCCAGCGGGGAUUGUCCCCGAGAGAUAAGAG
rnacentral:ncRNA from 2 species